rnacentral:lncRNA from 1 species
ACAUCUCAAACAUCUAGCUGUCUCAUUCUCACAAUUCUUAUCAUUUGCUGGCUUCUUUGCUGGACCCUUAUUAUUCUGAUUUCGUCCUUGAGUUCUACCAAACUUAUUUCUCUUCUUCUGAUUUUGUUCUCUCUCCGCAUGUGCUUCAUUAACUUUCUUCUUAAUUAUUAGAGCUUUAUUCAUAACUGAGGCAUAAGUAGUUAACUCAUAGGGUACAACUUAUUUUUUAAUUUCUAUCUUCAGUUUCAUUUCAAAUUUAUGUACUCUGUCUUGCUCAAUCUCAACUAAUCUUGGAACAAACUUGGUUAACUUCGUGAAUUUAGCUUCAUAUUCUGCAACAGAUCUAUUUUCCUGUUUCAGAUGAAUGAACUCCUGCUCUUUCUGUAUUCUGACACUUCGAGGAAAGUACUUGUCAAAGAAUUCAUCUCAAAAUCUCUCCCAAGUGAGUGGUAUCCUAUCGUGUUCAUAUUUUUGUUCAAGUAUACGCCACCAGUUGUAUGCCUCGCCUUGUAACAGAUAUGCUGUGUAGCGAAUCUUCUCUUCAUCAUGGCAUUCUUGCACGGUGAAUGCCUUCUCCAUUUU